rnacentral:rRNA from 1 species
AGUGAACGCUGGCGGUAGGCCUAACACAUGCGAGUCGAACGGCAGCACAGUAAGAGCUUGCUCUUACGGGUGGCGAGUGGCGGACGGGUGAGGAAUACAUCGGAAUCUACUUUUUCGUGGGGGAUAACGUAGGGAAACUUACGCUAAUACCGCAUACGACCUACGGGUGAAAGCAGGGGAUCUUCGGACCUUGCGCGAUUGAAUGAGCCGAUGUCGGAUUAGCUAGUUGGCGGGGUAAAGGCCCACCAAGGCGACGAUCCGUAGCUGGUCUGAGAGGAUGAUCAGCCACACUGGAACUGAGACACGGUCCAGACUCCUACGGGAGGCAGCAGUGGGGAAUAUUGGACAAUGGGCGCAAGCCUGAUCCAGCCCUACCGCGUGGGUGAAGAAGGCCUUCGGGUUGUAAAGCCCUUUUGUUGGGAAAGAAAAGCAGCAGAUUAAUACCCCGCUGUUCUGACGGUACCCAAAGAAUAAGCACCGGCUAACUUCGUG